rnacentral:rRNA from 1 species
GAACGCUGGCGGCAGGCCUAACACAUGCAAGUCGAGCGGUAACAUUUCUAGCUUGCUAGAAGAUGACGAGCGGCGGACGGGUGAGUAACGCGUAGAAAUCUACCUAGUAUGGGGGAUAGCCCAGAGAAAUUUGGAUUAAUACCGCAUACGCCCUACGGGGGAAAGCGGGGGAUCUUUGGACCUCGUGCUAUUAGAUGAGUCUGCGUCGGAUUAGCUUGUUGGUAGGGUAAUGGCCUACCAAGGCAACGAUGGUUAGCUGGUCUGAGAGGAUGAUCAGCCACACUGGAACUGACACACGGUCCAGACUCCUACGGGAGGCAGCAGUGAGGAAUUUUGCGCAAUGGGGAAACCCUGACGCAGCAACGCCGCGUGUGUGAAGAAGGCCGUUAGGGUUGUAAAGCACUUUCAGCAGUGAGGAAAGGGGUGUCGUUAAUAGCGCCAUCCUGUGACGUUAACCGCAGAAGAAGGACCGGACUAACUCCGUG